rnacentral:rRNA from 1 species
GUGCUUAACACAUGCAAGUCGAGUGCGCGGCCGUAGCAAUACGGCUGGCGCACGGCGCACGGGUGCGUAACACGUGGGCAACCUGCCCUCCAAUGGGGGAUACCCCCGCGAAAGCGGGACUAAUACCGCAUGAUAUUCCUGGGACAUCUGUUUCGGGACUCAAAGGUCGCAAGAUCGUUGGAGGAGGGGCCCGCGCCCGAUUAGCUUGUUGGCGAGGUAACGGCUCACCAAGGCUUUGAUCGGUAGCCGGUCUGAGAGGAUGGCCGGCCACACUGGAACUGAGACACGGUCCAG